GCCCCCGUAGCUCAGUGGUCAGAGCGCGGGCCAGCGUUGAUAUUCACACAGCGUUUGAGAUUAGCGAUGUUUCCAGCGAAGUCUACUCAGCGAAUAUCAGCGUACCCGAGGGCAGGCAGCGGUUCAAAUCCGCUCGGGGGCA